CUCAGUUCCUGGUUGGAAUCUUAUUUUGAAAGGUCAGUUUCCGUGAAGUGGAAACUCAUUUAGCCGAUUGAUUACACCUGUCGUGUAGUGGUGUGCAUUUAACCUGCAGUGUUCCACAGACCAGUUCACAGAUCGUCUGAUGUAUUAGAGACAAGAUCCAGUCAUAUCUCGUAAACUAGUAUGGCACCGUGUUAUUGUCUGUUGGAAUGCCGGUGUUCCAGAUUCACCAGUGACCAUGUUAACUGGUGACCAACUUCCGAGUGCGUCGCUCGUUGCUGCUGGAAACAGGAAGAGAGCUCGUUAUCUGUCCUCGUUAAUGCCGAUUUAACUGUUUUUCGUUAUUUUAUUAAACCUAACACGUACCUAAAGAGUAUUUCGACAAGAAAGCCCUGUCCCUGCAGACGCACAGGAAGUGGAAUCGGUCGACGCCCCUGAGGUGAAUUAGUACAAAUGUUUGAGAUUUUUCUUUUUUAUUGUAUUUUUUGGACAUGACAUGUUAAUGUAGUGAAGACCAGACCAACCCUGAGGGAGAAACCACAGAGACGGCACUUCUGACUGUUGUGGAUUCCCUACAGGUGGCAAAAGCUGCAGAUGUCUCAAAGAUGAUGAAGCCAAAGAGACUGAUGUCAGUAAGCAGCAUGGGCAGUCUUCCUCAGAAGCCUGCUGCGGGUCCCCUAACCCCCUCUGCUGGAGACUGCAGGUUGCUGCAGGUGAAGGCGCGACGUCCCUCUGCUCUUCCCACUCCUGUGAGGCGCAAGACAUCCAGCAUCCCAACACCCACGAGCCAGGCCCGGCCCGUCAGGCUGCUGCCCCCUUCUGACACUGACCCAGCCCCCGGCUCCAAAAUGUUUUAAGUUUAGAACAAAAUACAACAGCAGAAUGUUUAACUCUGAUUUAAGCUCAGAGCUUAAAAUAAAACGUGUUUUUCUGGUGUUUUCAAGCUGCUUCUCUUUGUUUCAGCAGCUGAUCGACCUGAGCUCCCCCCUCAUCAAAUGGAGUCCUGAAGACAAGAAGGAAAACAACGCUCCUCUCAUCAACCUGUCGUUCUGAUCCAGACCUGGAUCUGAUGGUCUCUGCAGUAAACUGGACUCAGCAGAACUUGUUCUAGUAAUUCAGUUAACAACAGAGUUUUAGUUUCCGUCUUCACUGAAUCAGAUUAUUAUGUUUUAAAUGAUGAAAAUAUUCAGACGCUGCUGAAGUGUUUCUGCAGCUGAUUGUAAUUUUAAUUGUUUAUCUGUGUUGCUGCUCUUAUCGACGUCUAAAUAAAUGUUGUUACUGUCACUGCUGUACACGAUGGUGCUCCUGUGUGUUCGUGAGCUGCAGACUUCAGGAAGCAACGUGAUCGUUCAUAAACCAGAAAGAAAAAAAUCCAGAAACCAAAUCAAAUGUGUUCAUACUUGAUAAGAAUGGAAUAAUUAGAAGUGGAAAUGAGCACGUCCUUUUUCCCCCUGAUAGUUAAUCACAAUCUUCCGUGGUAUGACCCAUGAACAGUGACACAUUGUGUAACAAAUGAAAAACAGGAAGAAGCAUUACAGUAUUAAAAAG
rnacentral:lncRNA from 1 species